GGAUUUUUGUGGUGUAGUGGUUUUAGUGUUGGACUAUGACUCUGGAGAUCCAGGUUCAAAUCCUGGCUCAGCCA